rnacentral:misc_RNA from 1 species
GUUUUUAGAGCGUAUCCCGAAAAGUGUGAACCGGUUUUCGGAAAAGAUACGCGUCAAAACAA